rnacentral:rRNA from 1 species
ACCUAAAUAUUCUAAAGUCACCAGAUUCCAGCUGAUCUUGAAAGGUAAGCAAGGUAGUUCUGAUUAGUAUUUGGAUGGGAGACCACCAAUAAAUACCAGAGAUUAUAGGCU